AAUCAACGCUGGCGGCGCGCCUAACACAUGCAAGUCGCACGAGAAAGGGAGCAAUCCUGAGUAAAGUGGCGUACGGGUGAGUAACACGUGGGAAUCUACCUCUUGGCGGGGAAUAACCCUGGGAAACCGGGGCUAAUACUGCAUAAGCCCGUGAGAGGAAAGCAGCAAUGCACCGAGAGAGGAGCCCGCGGCCGAUUAGCUAGUUGGUGGGGUAAUGGCUACCCAAGGCGAAGAUCGGUAGCCGGCCUGAGCGGGCACACGGCCACACUGGCACUGAAACCCGGGCCAGACUCCUACGGGAGGCAGCAGUGGGGAAUCUUGCACAAUGGGGGAAACCCUGAUGCAGCGACGCCGCGUGAGCGAUGAAGCCCUUCGGUGUGUAAAGCUCUUUCGACAGGAACGAUAAUGACGGUACCUGGAGAAGAAGCUGCGGCUAACUACGU
rnacentral:rRNA from 1 species